AUGACCGACGCGGGUCGAAGUGUAGUACCUGUUCUUAUGAGCUUAAUAUCUGGUACGGGUUCUAUUUGGACCCGAGAUAUUAAACUUAUUUUUGCAAGUUGGCUGGCGGAGUGCUGCGAAGCCUGCUUCACCUCCGCGUUGAUUCGGCCCGGUAUUGCACUAUCUCCGGGAUCGGUCCACAGUUU